GGAUUAUGUGUUCGGAGAAGAACGGAAUAGGUUUCGCCGGAAUAGAUAUCAAUGUCGUCGACGGUGAACGGAGCGACGUAGUUGCCGUCGGCUUCGACGACCUCUAGUUGGUGUCCCUGCAUGGGAACAUUUGAUGUCACACGUGUGAUCUCUAAUACAUGUAUAAAUCGAUAAAUAUUGCACACAAAUUUAAAUAACUAUUCAACUACAAAAGGCAAAUCUUCAUACUAAAUGAUACAAAUGUCAUGAAAAAUAGUUUAUAAAAGUGAAAUGCUUUAUUCUACAUAAUUUUAUAUCAUUGAUAGAAACUCUUACUUAGUUUUAACAUGUAUUUUAAUAUUUAAAAUGAUUUGCGAGUAAAAAUACUAGGGCUUGUCAUUUGGAGAACAAAUCAUGUUUCGGUUCGGGUACAAUCAGGUUUACGAGUUUAUGAAUUUAAUCAAAAUUCGGAUAUUAUAAAAGUUUGGUUCAGGUUUGACAACAUUUCUAAAAACCAGUUGAACCCAAUAUAAUUUUGGGUUUCAGAUCUUAAUCGAGUUUUUGGUUCCAAAAUAUUGUUCUAUACUUAAUUAAACUCGAAAACCAAACAAGGAUCAUGAGAAACAAAGACCCGAAAUCAAAAAUUUGUAAUGAAAAAUGCUCUUGUCACGAUUAUUUUUGGUUCUAAUGUAAUUUUCGACAAGUAAAAUUAGAGAUAAAAGACAAUGAAAUUAGACAAAACUUUAAAACUAUGCGCAAACACAUCAUAUCCAAUAAACCGAAGUGAAAAAUACAUCGAACCUGAUAAACUCGACUUUAUAGAAGAAGGAAAAUCAUCAAAUACCAAAAUAUAUUAAACUAAGUUUUUGAAUUAAUUAUUCAUGUAAUAAAUACUUCUUUUAGGUACUCAAUGAAAUCUUGGAAUAUUUGGGAUACUUAUUUGGAAUUGAGUUCAGAUUUAGUAUAAAUAUUUUUUGGAACUUUGAAUUUUUCUUAUUCGGAUAUCCAUUCAGGAUCGAGUUCAGUUCGUAUAAAAAUUUGAAAUAUCACAAAACAAGUUCUAUUUAGUAUUUUGGUCGGAUUCGGUUCGAUUCAGACUCUUUAUUAUCGGGCCAAGUUCAAUUCGAGUUUCCAAAUUCAGUUUAUUUGUCCACUCCUAAAAAGUACUUAAAAUCAUUUUUGUUUAGCGUUUCUCAAAAAAAUAGCUAAUCAGUAUAAACAAAAAUAUUUAAACUACUGCAAAGACUAUACAUAUCUCAUUUUAAAAAUUAAAAAUAUAACCAGUUUUUAAUUUAUUUAACUUUUUAUUGAUAAAAAAUAACAUUAUAUUUGUUUGGAUAUUCGAACUGCCUUUAAUCCAAAUGAAAAAAAAACAUGUUAAUUAGUUCCUUUUAUAAACAUGUAUGCUACAAAAUUUGUUAGAAGUAUUUAUAUUUUAAAAAUGUCUAAAUUUAUAUUAGUUAGAAAAUAACUUACUUCAACGGCUAAGUUGAGGGAAGCAAGAGAAGUGGUGCUAGCGAUCCGAAGGCGAUAUACUUUGUUUGGCUCGACCCUUAGAGUUGUAGGUGCGCAAGGAUCAUCUUUUGUAAAGUUACACUCUUUCAAGCCUCCCUCGUUAAAAUACCCCGCUUGUGAGCAAUCGAACUGUCCUCUUCCGUUGAUCAACAGACUCUGAGGCUCCCCAAUCCAACGCAUAGGCUUCGAAGAAAGAGAGAGUUCUUGCAAGGUACUACUUAGAUGCCACCAAUCACUGAGCAGCAGAUUAAACUCUCCAUCGUACUGUAGUGUCUCUUUGGGCGAUCUCACUACCAUCAUCCCGUACAGUCCAGCCGAUCUCUGCAUCCCAUAGUGUCCGUGGUAGAAAUGUGUUCCUGCCUGCACCAUUACAAAACGUUAUCGAUAUCUCUUUUUGUAAAAGUUAUUUAAGAGAAAUAAAUGUCUUUUGUUUACCUUAUCAACUGUGAAUUUAUAAGUGAAAGUCUCUCCAGGAUUAAUGGGACAUUGCGUCACACCCGCUGCUCCAUCUGACCAUGGAGUGCCAUUCUAUUCCAUAAUCAUAAUUCAUUGUUGUUAUGUCCCUUUUUUGACAAUUUGAUUAUACUAAAAUUUAUGUAUAUAAUAUAACUAAUCUCCAUUCUAGUAUAACUUUUUAUAAAAAUAUAUUCUCUCCCUUCCGUAAUAAUAUAUAACUAGAUUUUCACCCGCACAACCGUGCGGGUAUAUAUUUUCACAUUAAUAUAUAUAUAGAUAUUUGUUUUACAUAAUUAUUAUAUAUUUUUAAUGUUACUCACAUAUUUAAAUGCUUGUAUAAUUAUGCCAAAUAUAAUAAUUUUAUAGUUUUCAUGGUGUAAAUUAAAAUCAUCACAUAUAUAUGUUGCUCAUUAUAUAUUUGUCCUAUUGAAUUUGCAUUUGAAUACUAAACUAAAUUUUUUAAUGCAUGAAACAACAUAUAUGAAAACAAUUUUGUAUUUAAUUUAUUAUAAUGCAUGAUCCGUAAUUCAAAUCGCUAGAUUUUUUUAGUAAUUUUUUAAUGUUUAUUAAUUCUAUAUAAUAAAUUACUGUAUAUUAAAAAGUUUAAGAUAAGUUAAAAUUUUAUACAUGUAUUAUAUAUUUUACUAAUAUUAACCCGUUCUACCAACAUAUUAUAUUUUUAGCAUAAAUAUUUUAUAUUUAUGAAAAUAAAAUAUGUUAACUUAUCAAUUUAAAAUAAUUUUAUCAUAUUUUGUUUAAUAUAACAUUUUUAUUUUAAAAUGAUAGAUAUUAUUAUAAAAUUGAUAAAAUAGGAUAUAAUUUUAUUCUUUUAGUAACAUUUCAUUACUAAUUACAAAAUUAGUUGAAAAUAUUUAUAUUCAAUUUAUUAAAAUUAAGAUCUUAUUAUAAUUUAUUUUAAGAGAUUUGUUAGCAUUUUAAAUUUUUUUAAAGAAAAUUAAAAGAUAUAAAAGAUAUUAUGAUUAAAGUAGUUAAAAAUAUUAUAUAUAUUAGCAUUAGUGAUAUACAUUUAAUAUAAAAUUUAAAUGACGGUCCAAAUAAAAAUAUCAGUCAUCAAAAAAUCAUGAUUUUUAUUUUAUUAGAAAACAAAUUUGAAAAAAUUAAAAUAUAAAUAAAUAUUUAUUUCUAACAAAAUCUUUAAAAAUUAUUCGUAAAUGUAUUUUUGAAAUUAAUUAAUUUCAUUUUAUUUAAAUUUUCGUUUAUAAACCAAAACUAUAUUUAAUUUUAAUUUCUAAUUAUACUUUAUGAUAAUUUAAAUUAAAACUAACUAAUUUUUGAAAGUAAAUUUAAAAAGAUUCUAAGAAGAUUUUAAAAAGAUUUUGUUAGAACAUUUUAAAUAUAUUCAUUUGUAUUUCAAAUAAAAAGAUAAGAUAUUAAAAGAUAUAAUAAUGAACUUAUGUAAAAUAUGAUAUUUUCUAGGAAUGAUCCAAACUAAAAAAAUCACACAUGAAAAGAAGUCAUGACUUCUGUUUUAAUAUAUUAGAUAUAUUAAUGUAUAAUAACAUUAAUUUUAUUACUAAUUACAAAAUUAGAGAAAAUAUUUAUAUACAAUUUUUGAUAAUUAAGAUAUUGUUAUAACGUUUUUCAACACAUUUGUUAAGAAAAUUAAAUAUUUAUAUUUAUAUUUUAAAUUAAAAGAUAUCAAAUUAUAUUAUGAUUUCAGUAGUUAAAAGAUUAUAUAUUAGCAUUAAGGAAAUACAUUUACUACAAAUUUUAAAUGAUGAUUCAAAUAAAAAUAUCACAUGAAUCAAGGUGAGUUUGUUAACCAAUCCGGGUUUUUAGGAGUCGAUGUUAUAUUAGGAAUGAUAUUAUUAAUCCAUAUUAUUAGUAAUAAAUGAAUGAUAACUGAUUUUUAGGGAGGGUCAAUUUUUUUAAAAAUCAUACAUGAAUCAAAGUUGUGACUUAUGUUUUAAUAUAUAAGAUUAGUAUAUAUUAUAAUAUAUAUGUGUUUAUCAAUUUUUAAAACAUAAUAAGCUUACUGUAUAUUUUUUUUCAUUGAAUAGAUUGUUUCAUACUUUCACAUGUAUUUGUAUCUUCUUCUAUAUAUAUAUAUUUUCGGAUUAUUAUUUCAUUAUUAAAAUCAUAACUAUAUAUAUAAAGAUUAGUAAAAUAUUGUUUUAUUGUUAUAUUCAAAGAUAUUGUAAUAUUUCACAAAUUUAGAAAGUUUUUAAGAAAUUAAAAUUUUCGUUUCAAAGAUUUAUAUUAUCGAGUAAAUAAUUAAACAUUUAUUUUUUUGUUUAGUUUUUAAAAUAAACUAUAUAGUUUAAAAUUUGUUUUUAUUGGUUUAAUAUAUUAAAGAUUAAUCAUUGUUAGAUAAUAUGAUUUUUGUUAUUUAACAAAAAAAUCUUUAUAAUUUUAAAAGUUAACUUCAAAAAAUAUUUAAAUAUUCAGCAUAUAGAGGUAUAUAUUACAACAUUAAAUUAUAUUUAUUUUAUUUAUACUAUAUAUAAAUCCAAUGGAUCAUCUAUUGUUUAAAUUUAAUUAUUGAUAGCCCAAUAAAAAUUUCUUGUAGACCCAAAAUUUAAAUGAUAGAAUUAGAUAUUAAAUGUAACAUAACUUUCUAGGAAUAGGUCCAUUAAGUCCAUUUUUUUAAAAAUCACACAUGAAUCAAGGUUGUGACUUCUCUUUUAAUAUAUAAGAUGUUUUAGAAAAAUAUUGGUGUUUCAAAAGUACACAUAUGUUUUGACAUUUAUAUAUUAACUUUAGAUUUAUUGAGUUUUUUAACCAAAUAUAUUUGUAUCGUUAUUUAAUACGAAUAGUUCAAUAAUUUUUAAUUUAUAUUAUAUCUAUAUUUUUUUUAAAUUAUUACUUUUUGUGAUUUUAGACAACAUAUCUUAUAUUAUAUGACACAUGGAAUAUUAAUUAUAUAGGCAACCUGACGUAUGCCGUGCCAAUGGAUGACAACAUUUUCGGUGGAGAGUUUAUUUUUGACGUGAAUGAUGACUGUGUCUCCGGCGUUAGCAUAAAUCGUUGGCCCUGGAAACGCACCGUUGAUGGCAAUAACGACGCCUUCUGUACAAUCCGGAGACCGGAAUUGAUUCUCGACCUCCCAGUACGAUUCUACAACUCCGGCGGAUCCGGCAGAGGCCGAGUGAGCCGCCACCAUAACCGCCGUUACUAGCCACCACACAAUUACCGACAUUGAAAUUAGAAACAAUUACACUCAAAGACAGUUUUAAGUUUUUUAUCACACUAUUAGACAGUUCUUACUACUAGAGCAGUUUUUUCUAACCAAACCUAAUUUAUAUCUAUACACUAACUAAAAGUCCUAACUAAAUAUUAUUAUUUUAUUUUAUUAGCCAAAAGAAAACUAUUAGGAAACUAUGGUCACAAUCACUUUUUUAUCUCUCUCUCUCUCUCAUAGUUUUAUUCUUGUUUUCUUUUGUCGUGAACCAUUUGGUUUUAAUUUCCACUAAAGAAAUGCAAAGUGCUAUUUCAAAGAUAGAUCUGGAGAUUUUCACUCACUUUUAGUUUCUGGUGCUAACCGUUCUGAAUCUACCGUCGAAGCUCUGUCGCCAUCUUCUUCAUCAUCUUCACCUCUGCAUCUCUUCCGCUUCAAUCAAGCUCUUCUAUAAAUAUCAGCCAUCGUCUAAACUAUCAUAGGAGAGAGAAAGCUUAAGCAACAAUGGUAAAUCCCUUAAAAAAACAAUGGUAAAUCUCUCUGGCGUGAAGUGAUUGUGUCACGAUCUCGAACGCGAGUAACCUUAAGCACAGUAGCUUCUUUGCCUGAGCCGCUACACUCGUCUGUCGAGCUCCAAUCACAGAGAGAAAGCUCAAGCAACAAUGGUCAAAUCUCACAUAUUUGCACAUUUAGUCCUUGGGUAUUUAGGUUUAAUUUGAUUUUGUCCCAAACUCUUUGAUUUCAAAUAUAUCCUAUCUAAUUGACCCCUAUACUUCAAAAUAUGCAUUCUAGCCCCUAUUUUGAUGGAGAACUUUGGGUUUUUCAUUUCUAGUCCCUCAUAUUUUGCAUCCUUUCAUUUUUGACCCCAAAAUUUCCAAAUUUACAUUUUUAAUCCUCUAAUGAACAAACAAAUGAUAUAUACACACCUAUAUUAAACCUAAAAUUAUCUAAAUAGACUCCAAAAAUAUACUCACUAAAAUCAUCAGGUAUCAUAACUUGUGAAAUGUAUAAAUGAGUUUGUGUACUUGUGUUUUUUUUUGUGAUACAUAUGUACACGUGCACAAUAUAAUAUAUGUGUACACAUGAACUUCCAAAUUUUAAUUUUCAUGUGAUAUGCAUACUGAACAUACAAAUUCAACAGAUGCAUCCAAUAAUGAACUAAAACAAAUUACUCAAAUAAUUUUUCUAGCAACUAUACUAAAAAAUAUUUGAAUUACCAAAUAUCAUAAAUUGAGCAAUGUACAAAAUGUACCAGUGUACAUGUGAUUUUUCAUAAAACUUUGUACAUGGGGACAGUGAAAUAUAUGUGUACACGUGACAAUAUUUGACUUGGCUUAUACUCUAUAUAUUCUUUAACCAAAACCUAGAAAGAGAAAAAAAUUCUAUAAGUCAAAGAAUAGAAACACAAUCUUUGAUGGAAAAAUUACUUUUUAAAAAGAAAAUAUAAUUUUUAGAUUUUUCUUGUUCUAUAAAGAUAAAAUUUCUAAAUAUUCAUGGAAUUCUUAAUAUGGAUGAAUAUUCUAGAAAAUUCUUCGUUCAGGAACAAAUAUAGCAUUUUUUAGUUUUGCUUAAGAUAAUUUUUUUUACACACAAAUUUUGAUUUUAAUGGUUAAGAUGCAAAAUUAGAUUUAUGGUUUUGGCCAAAAAUACAAUAUAUGGUUUUACAAGUUUAUUUUUACAGUGUGUACAUGUGAAUUAUUGCACAAGUUGAAUUGUGUACAUAUGAAUUGAAGUACACGUGGAUAGUAAAUUUGGUGUACAUAUCUAUAUACAAACACCAUUACAAUAAUGUACACAAAAAUAAUUCAUACUUCAAUAAUGUACAUAUGAAUUGAAGUAACGUGGAUAGUAAAUUUUGUGUACAAAGUGUUGUGUACAUAUAUCUACAUACAAACAUCAUUACAAUAAUGUACACAAAAAUGAUUCAUACUUCAAUAAUGUACAUUUGAAUUGAAGUACACGUAGAUAGCAAAUUUUGUGUACAUAGUAUUGUAUACAUAUAUCUACAUACAAACAUCAUUACAAUAAUGUACGCAAAAAUAAUUCAUACUUCAAUAAUGUACAUAUGAAUUGAAGUACACGUGAUAGUAAAUUUUGUGUACAUAGUGUCGUGUACAUAUGUCUACAUACUUUAAGGGCGAAACGAGUAAAAAACAAAAACUUAACAAUUGUUGCUCUCUAGUUUUCACUCUGCUACGAGAUAAAAAUGAACACUAGAAAUUUGGAAAUAAAAUUAAAAGUCGUUUGGCAACUUCGAAAGUCUAAAAAAUAAAGAUUAAAACACGAAGGACCAAACAUGAAAAUAUCAGAAUCUUGGCCAUUGUUGCUCUCGAGCUCAAACUCUACGACGGAGAGGAUGAGCCACAAGGACUCCAGACGGAAAUUAAGGUGGAUCUAGGGGCUGUAGCGUUUUGCGGUGAUUCUUCGACGAUGAAUGAGGCAAGAGUGAUGCGUAAGUGAUUUGCCGUUACGGUAGGAGCUAGCCGUUAAGGUAGAGCUGAGCAUGGUGGAGUGAUGCGGAGGCGAUGCUUCAACGACGAGUCGGCGGUGAGCAGCAAGUUACAUACCAAACAACACGUUGAGGGGUUAGAAUUCACAAUUUAAAAGUCUGGAUCGCAACUAGAAUUAUGUGGCCACAAAAAAAAAGUAAGGACUUGAAAAUACCAAAGAAAAAGAAAUUAUGAGGCACGUGGUCUUUUGCUCAGAUAAUUAUCUAAUUCAAUUUACUUUCUGCCUCGGGUCCACCACACAAUCCUUUUAAAACAAAAUUCAAAAUCCAACCACACAUAAAUAUCUGUAACCGAAAAAGAAGCGCUUAGUUAAGUUUUUUAAGGGCAAGUUAAGUCUUUUACACCAAAAACUACCUCAGUAUAACAAAGUGACUUAUCUUGUAAUAAAAAGACAGAAACUGCCUCUGGAUGUAAAUCACUCUUGAAAUUAUUAUUAUUUGGUUAUGUAAGCUGGAUAUAUUGUGUGGGUUAUAUUAAAUAGACUGUCUUGCUUUUUAUGACAUCUUUCGUAGUUGUAGUAUAUAUAGAAAGGGAAUGGCUGCUUUUAAUUUCUUGUUUUUAAAAAAAAGUUAACCGAAAAAUCCAAAUAAUUUUCUAUAUUUAUUUUGUCUUUUUCCUUUGUGUUUUAAAGGGCAAUCUUUUUCUUGUGUGGCUGUUUCUGACUGAGUUUGAAAAUUUUGACAUAUUAACAAAUGAAAAAGAAAGACGACAAGAUCAAUGUGACCAUAUUAGUAAUUUUAGCAGUUUGGUAUUGGAAGACUAUGCAAUUGGUUACAACUUAUAUCAUUUUGACAUUGUUUCCUUGGAAGAAACGUGUAGUCAAACAAUCAAGGUCUAAAGGAUUUAUAACUAUUCAGAAAAAUAAUUAUUCACGUAUAAAUACUGGCACACAUUUAUGCAACUAAAGAUUUUCAGCAUGAAGUAAUGAAUACCGCCAUCAAUGAAUUUCAUAGAGCAGUUUAAGAUGAUGCAGUUAGACGUAAAUCAUCAUAAAGUAGAUAUAAUUAUUAGUUAUAAUAUCGUUUAUGUAAUGUUUUUUAUGAUUUUUAAUAACAUACGUACACAUGUACAUUAGAUAUGUAAAAUAUAUUAAUAAAUAUAAUAAAUCAUAUGAUGAAGAGAGAAAGAAAGAGAUUUUUUAUACUUUCAAGUUGAUGGCCAGAGGCUGGUAUAGCUCUUGUUUGAUUCGUUUUGUUUUGUUUUUUUCUUUGAUUUGCUUUACUUCCCGUCACUUGGUUUGUUUGAUUGCCAAUUUAUUUUAAAUAUUGCAAAGUUAUUUAUUGUUGUUUUAUAUGUUUCUUCUAAUGGAUUUGGUAAGAAAAAAAAAUAUUCGGUUCAAUUGAACCGUUUAGAAAAGGUAAUUGACAAAUCUACUCUAAUGGUGGUGACAGGUCUUACCAGCUUCAAUCGUUGAUGGUUCUUUAUUUGAUGGUGAUGGAGUUCUUGCUACAAACUAUGGUUAUUUCGAAAAGACAUUAACAUGAAAUUUUAUGGAACAGUAAUCUCUUUAACUUUGUUAUUAUCACGGACGAACACACAUACGGAGAGGGUGUGGCACGUGCCACAUAUUGAUAUAAAACCAGUAAGCUAAUGCUUACUGAGAUGAAGUUGUUUAGCUCAUUCGGCUAAAACGUGCCCUUGUGCUCCACCCUAAUCACGUUCGAGCCCACUAUAAUUUUUUUUUGAUGAAAUGUGAAAUCUAUUAAUCAUCACUAAAAAAAUAGGCAUUUACAUAAAGAAUAGAGAAACUAAUCUGUGCAUGAACCGAGUGUGGAAAUAAAAAACAUCAUGUUGAAACCUCAAACCAUCUUUGCAUUAGUCAUGCAAACUUAUGAUCGGCCUUGUAAUGGAGAGAUGUAGUACACAAUUGUUUUUUUGUUUUCUUUUGUCUACUAUCAUUUUCUUCCAAAAUAUAUAAUUUAUUUUGUUCAAACAUAAAUAUAUAAUAAACAAAAUUACAUGAAUUUUUCUCUAACAAUUAGUUUCAUUAAGUUUUUUUUUUAAAUUUACGAAGAUAUCAUUUAGGAAGAAUAAAGUGUGAUUCUGAUUGUAUUUAGCAGAUAAACAACCUCAUCAAGAAACACAAACAUCUCAUUCAAAUCAAACACAUAUUACAAAGAUUUUUUUUCAAUCUUAUGAAUCGGUCUCUUCCCGACUGAUUUCUUUGUUAAAUAAAUUCCAUCGAUUAACACGAAACCAGUGCCGGCACAGGGAAGAAGCGAAUGAAGCAUGUGCUCCGGCCAUUAAAAGUUUAUAGAUGAUUUCGGCCAAUUUUUGUAACGCAAGUUGCACUUAGUCCAACGGUAAUGAGCAAACUUUCUUAUCAUAAGAGGUCAUGAGUCGAUGUCCAUGUUGGACAUUUUCUAUUUUCAUAUAUAGUGGCCCAAAAAUUUUUUUGUGCAACCGGCACAACAAAACUCUGGACCGCUACUGCUCGAAACAAAAAUAAUAAUAAGUUUUAUCAUGAAAAAAAAUAUUUUUAAUUUCUUUUUGUCAUCAAAAAAAAAUAUUAACACAUGUGAAAUGCAUUCAUACAUCCAUAAGCCGACAAGAAACACAUUCUUUCCAGAGCAAGAAGCCGGCAAAGAUCAAAAUCAUUCCAGAGCCAUGAUAUAUAACUAAACUAAAGUUAAGACAGAAGGAUGAAAAGGAAUGCUAAAACAUAAGCUCACAGCCGAGACAUAAGAUAUAAAGUGGCCCUAUGAUUGCAUCGAGAGAAUAGAGCACUCCGAUCUCUAAAACAAGGAUAGAAUCAUGACGAAGAGCCUUCAAAGAACAUUGUAGAGGUCCUGAAAGAGACUUCUAUCCAAAGAGCCAAAACACAAAGGUGUCGGAUUCUCAAAGUUCAUGCAGCUAAAAGCUGGUACACUUACAUCAGUCCAACCAUAUCAUAGCACAAGAAAGCUCAAAUAGAUCUUCAACAGAGACUGGAUGAAAACCUGAUAACACCAAUACAUCAACCACUCCACGGAACCUUAAACCCAAGAAAAGCCUACGAUAUUCCUAAAAAUCAUCCAGAUACCGAAGAUAAUGGAGUGUGACUAGAGGGUAGAGCCAUAAGACCUCUGACACCACACUUGAAAGGCUGUCUGGCCAAACCCGAAUAAAUAAAGACCCCACAUCUGAACCGGCUAAGUACUUCUACCGCAAACCAGAAACCAGAUAAGAUCUGACACCAGCAGCCACCAAAGCAUAUGAUCCACAUAAGUACCAAAGCUAGCACACUGAAGCAACUCAAUAGAGCAUUAAACCGUAUAGAGACCCAUCAAUCAAACACGUCAAACACAGUUUGCAGUUACUAGCAAUACCAACACAAAGCACCACCAUCUUGACUAACACAUACCAAAGCAAGGGAAGGCUUUAACACAAACCUAGCUGAAACGAAAGCCUGAAGCUGAAGAGCAUAGUAGACACAAACAAUUUGCAACCGUAGAGCUUCUCCACCACCAGAACUUCAACUAGCCGUCACCUCAAAACCCAAAACUAGGACCGGUCAUACGAGCUAUUGAACCACCAAAACUAGAAUUGGAUCCACUUCUGAGCAUCCAUCGUUGUACACUGCCACAACCGAGUAACAAUCUAAUAGACGCGAGCGGCUUCAGAAUACUCAGGAAACAAACCAGUCGAGAUAUGGCUAAAACCUAACACACUCUCAUGAACCAGCUAGAGUGUAAAAGCCCCUCAUCCCAUGGAAACUUAAAAAAAAAAUCACACAGCACAAGCUACAGAGAAUCAAAAAGAGAAAGGCCGGGGUGGCACUUACAGAGGCGCCACUCUAAAAGGCGAUGAAGAAGGCGAGGGAAAAAUUGGUGUUUGUUGUUUAACAUUUUUAGUUUUGAGCUAACAAAUAACAACAAAGCAAGGUAAAAAAACUAAAAGCACAAACAAAUAAUAACCACUAAUACUAGUAAGUACAGUAAUAGGAAAACACCGGUUGUUGUUCAAAAAAAAAAAAGAAAAAAAAAAGGAAAACACGGGUUAUAGCUCCGGUUCUCAAUGGCGUCCCCGGUUCAUGAGAAAUUCUCUGGUUAAACCACAACCGAGCACCUCAUUCGGUAUAUUCAUCUUAGCGAUCUGGUCUACUCCCUCGGCAAAAACCACACCCAUGCCCAUAUGCAAAUGCGGUUCAAUGUGACAAUGAAAAAACCAAACCCCAGGAUUGUCCGUUACAAAUCUCAACGCCGUCCAUCCGUACGGAUACAACGCCACCGUAUUCCUUAACGGCGCGUUGGUCAGAUUAUACCUCUUGUCGUCGACUCCUGGCUGAAACUUCCCUUCGCCGUACCCCAAAACCCAAAAAUCAUGACCGUGGAGAUGCCACGGAUGUAUCUCGCUGCCUCUACCGUUCAAAACGUUCGAGUUCUGGAGAAUCACGUCGACGACGCGGCCGAGCUGGAAGUUAUAGAUUCCGCUACCUUUCGUCGUGUUUGGAUUCACCGGAGGUUUGGUUAUGUCGUAGUCCUCCACGAUCUUCUUCCCCGGAGGUUUUUGGUAGUUCAAAGUCUUGAGCCCGUAUCUGAUCGUUCCGAUGUACGGCGUCGCCGGAACUGAUAACGAGACGUUGUUGAUCGCCCAUUUUGUGUACUUAUCCAUGAGGUUCUGUGUGUUGAGGAGGAAGAGCUGUUCGUCUGACUUCUCCGGCGGCGGCGGGUAUCCUUUCGCGGCGAAGAUUUUCUUCGAGAAGGUUUUGCUCCGGUCGUAGUCGUCCCACCUGGGAGUCACCGGGGGAGGAUAAGGUAGGUGUUCGUAUUCGGGAGCGUCGGCGUAGUGUAGCAGGGUGAGGGCUUGUGUAGUGUUGGGUUUACGGCCACGAACGCCGACGGAGAUCCAGUAUUUUCUGGAAGGGGUUGGAUUGUGGGUUCGGAGGAGAACGGAAUAGGUCUCGCCGGAGUAGAUGUCAAUGUCGUUGACGGUGAACGGAGCGAUGUAGUUGCCGUCGGCUUCAACGACUUCUAGGUUGUGUCCCUGCACAUGUGCACAAUCAGCCUCACAACUAUGAAUAAAUAACGUAUUCAAGUACAAAAGUAAAUUUUGCAAAAAUAUAUUGAACUUAAACUUCUCA
rnacentral:lncRNA from 1 species